CUUGGUCAUUUAGAGGAAGUAAAAGUCGUAACAAGGUUUCCGUAGGUGAACCUGCGGAAGGAUCAUUAUCGUACAAUGGGGGUACCACGGCUGUCGCUGACUUUUUCGGUCGUGCACGCCAGAGUGCUCUCACAUACAAAUAUCCAUCUCACCCCUUUGUGCAUCACCGCGUGGGUCCCCCUUCCUCCGAGGGGGGUCCUCACGUUUUUAACAUUAAACACCCAUUCGAACGUAUCGUAGAAUGUUCUUUGCGCGAUCACGCGCGAUCAAUACAACUUUCAACAACGGAUCUCUUGGCUCUCGCAUCGAUGAAGAACGCAGCGAAAUGCGAUACGUAAUGUGAAUUGCAGAAUUCAGUGAAUCAUCGAAUCUUUGAACGCACCUUGCGCCCCUUGGAAUUCCGAGGGGCACACCCGUUUGAGUGUCGUGAACGUCCUUCAACCUUUCUUGGUUUCCCGAUCAAGGAAGGCUUGGACUUUGGGGGUUUUUCAUUGCUGGCCUCCCUUGAAGCCAGCUCCUCCUAAAUGUAUUAGUGGGGUCUGCUUGGCCGAUCCUGGACGUGAUAAGAUGAUUGUACGUCUUGGGUUUCGCACGGUCGCUUGGGACCGUGCUUUUAACCGUCUUGCAUUCAGGACAGAGUCAUGAACUUUGACCUCAAAUCGGGUGAGACUACCCGCUGAACUUAAGCAUAUCAAUAAGCGGAGGA
rnacentral:rRNA from 1 species